rnacentral:tRNA from 2 species
GGACAGGUGGCCGAGCGGUCGAAGGCGCACGCCUGGAAAGUGUGUAGGCGCGAAAGCGUCUCGUGGGUUCGAAUCCCACCCUGUCCGCCA